rnacentral:rRNA from 1 species
UACGUAGGGCGCAAGCGUUGUCCGGAAUUAUUGGGCGUAAAGAGCUCGUAGGCGGUUUGUCGCGUCUGCCGUGAAAGUCCGGGGCUCAACUCCGGGUCUGCAGUCGAUACGGGCGGACUCGAGUUCGGCAGGGGAGACUGGAAUUCCUGGUGUAGCGGUGAAAUGCGCAGAUAUCAGGAGGAACACCGGUGGCGAAGGCGGGUCUCUGGGCCGAUACUGACGCUGAGGAGCGAAAGCGUGGGGAGCGAACAGG